GGAUUGUUGCUCAGUGGUAGAGCGCUCGUCUAGCAUGUGCGAGGUGCUGGGUUCAAUACUCAGCACCG
rnacentral:tRNA from 1 species